UACGGAAGGCAGCAGUGGGGAAUAUUGCACAAUGGGCGCAAGCCUGAUGCAGCCAUGCCGCGUGUAUGAAGAAGGCCUUCGGGUUGUAAAGUACUUUCAGUCGUGAGGAAGGUGUUAAGGUUAAUAACCUUAGCAAUUGACGUUAGCGACAGAGGAAGCACCGGCUAACUCCGUGCCAGCAGCCGCGGUAAUACGGAGGGUGCGAGCGUUAAUCGGAAUUACUGGGCGUAAAGGGCACGCAGGCGGUUAAUUAAGUUGGAUGUGAAAUCCCCGGGCUUAACCUGGGAAUGGCAUUCAAGACUGGUUAGCUAGAGUCUUGUAGAGGGGGUAGAAUUCCAUGUGUAGCGGUGAAAUGCGUAGAGAUGUGGAGGAAUACCGGUGGCGAAGGCGGCCCCUGGGACAAAGACUGACGCUCAUGUGCGAAAGCGUGGGGAGCAAACAGGAUUAGAUACC
rnacentral:rRNA from 1 species